rnacentral:rRNA from 1 species
CAGUAGCCGCGGGAAUACGGAGGGUGCAAGCGUUAAUCGGAAUUACUGGGCGUAAAGCGCACGCAGGCGGUUUGUUAAGUCAGAUGUGAAAUCCCCGAGCUUAACUUGGGAACUGCAUUUGAAACUGGCAAGCUAGAGUCUUGUAGAGGGGGGUAGAAUUCCAGGUGUAGCGGUGAAAUGCGUAGAGAUCUGGAGGAACACCGGUGGCGAAGGCGGCCCCCUGGACAAAGACUGACGCUCAGGUGCGAAAGCGUGGGGAGCAAACAGGAUUAGAUACCCCGGUAGUCCCUGUCUCUUAUAC